GGGGGGGUAUAUCAGUUGGUUAGAUAGUUUGAUUCCAAAUCUGGACGCUUAUAUCCUCUGAUACAAGUUGAUUUCGAUAUCAAAAAGUCAUCCGUUCAAAUCGGGUUCUCCUCG